rnacentral:rRNA from 1 species
UACGAAGGGGGCUAGCGUUGUUCGGAAUUACUGGGCGUAAAGCGCGCGUAGGCGGCUUCGCAAGUCGGGUGUGAAAUCCCCAGGCUUAACCUGGGAACUGCAUUCGAGACUGCGUUGCUAGAGUAUGGGAGAGGGAAGUGGAAUUUCCGGUGUAGCGGUGAAAUGCGUAGAUAUCGGAAGGAACAUCAGUGGCGAAAGCGACUUCCUGGACCAAUACUGACGCUCAUGUGCGAAAGCGUGGGGAGCAAACAGG